rnacentral:rRNA from 1 species
UACGUAGGGCGCAAGCGUUGUCCGGAAUUAUUGGGCGUAAAGAGCUCGUAGGCGGCUUGUCACGUCGAUUGUGAAAGCUCGGGGCUUAACCCCGAGUCUGCAGUCGAUACGGGCUAGCUAGAGUGUGGUAGGGGAGAUCGGAAUUCCUGGUGUAGCGGUGAAAUACGCAGAUAUCAGGAGGAACACCGGUGGCGAAGGCGGAUCUCUGGGCCAUUACUGACGCUGAGGAGCGAAAGCGUGGGGAGCGAACAGG